rnacentral:rRNA from 1 species
GUCUAUGGCCAUACCACCCUGAAUGCUCCCGAUCUCAUCUGAUCUCACAAGCUAACUGGGGUCGGACCUGGUUAUAGUAC